rnacentral:lncRNA from 10 species
GUCAAUUAAAAAUUUUAAAAAAGAAAUCUGAAAUAACAGUUGCCCCCUAUGAGCAUCUCACGAUAAAUCCCUUUAAUCUCCUCUACAUAUACUGAGUAUUAAAAAACAGAAUCGUCUAGAACAUUGUUGCUGUUCUGAGACCUGUCUUUCUCAUUUAACACAAGUGAACAUUUUUCUUUGUCAGCAAGUAGCGGUAAACAUCAUCCAUUCUAAUGGCUGUAUUUUUUAAUAGGUGGAGUUGUAUCUUCAGGGCAGAUUCCUAACAGUGGAAUGGCUGGGUCACAAGGGAAAUGUGUAGGUAGUUUUUGUACAUGUUGUCAAAUUUCCCACCAUAAGGGUUGUGCCGGUUUGUUUUCCCACCAUCAGUGUAUGAGACUGCCUGAUUCCCUGUACAUUCAUUCCUGUGGCUGCUCUAACAAGUUACCACAAACUUGGUAGCUUUAAACAAUAGUUUACUCUCUCACAUUCUGGAGGCCAGAACUCCAAAAAUCUAGACAUCAGCAGGGCUGGAGCGCUCCUAGAGAUUCUAGGGGAGAAGCCUCACUUUGCCUCUUUUUCUGGUGGCUGUAGCCAUUCCUUGACCAUUCCUUGACAUUCCUGGCCCCAUCACUGAGAUUUCCACCUCCGGGGUCACAUUGCUGCCUCUUCUUCCUCUGUCUGCCAGUCUCCUUGUGUCUCUUUUAAGGUUGCUUGUCACUGGAUUUAGGACCCAACCCACCCAGACAAUCCAGGAUGAACUACUCAUCUCAAACUUCUUAAUUUAAUUUCAUCUGCAAAGACCCUCUUUCCAAAUUAAGUAACAUUCACAGUUUCCAGAGAUUAGGACAUGGACAUAUCUUUUUGCAGGGUCAUCAGUCAGCCGACUAUAUCCUGUCUCACCAACAGAAUACAUUGUUAUAUUUUUUAAUUUUUGUCAUCUUGAUAGGUUAAAAAUGGUCUCAGUAUUCCCCCUCUCCCCCUGCCAAGAGACAGGGUCUUGCUUGUUGUCCAGGCUAGAGUGCAGUGGUGCAAUCAUAGCUCACUGUAAUCUCAACCUCCUGGCCUCAAGCAAUCCUUCCACCUCAGGCUCCCAAAGCACUGGGAUUACAGGUGUAAGCCACCUCACCUGGCCUGUCUCCAUAUUAUUUUAAUUUGUAUUUCUCUUUUUACACAUUUAAGGGUCCCUUUUACAUAUUUUUUGUGAAUUGUUAAUUUCUCUUACCCAUCUUUUCUGUCAGGUUUUUGGGUCUUUCCCUUGACAUUAAGAGGAGUUUUGUUUCUUUGAGACAAGCUACUACUAUGUACAGCAACAUGGAUAUAAUGUUAUCUAUAUGUAUCUAUAUACUUAGAAAUAAUGUUGAGCAAAGGAGGUCAGACACAAGAGUACAUACUAUAUGAUUCCACCUAUAUGAAGUUCAAAACCAAACCAAACUAUUCUAUUAUAGAGGUCAAACUAAUGGUUAACUUUGAGGUAUAAUGAUUGGGAAGAGAUAUGAGGGAGCCUUCUGGGAUGUUGGAAAGUUUCUAUGUCUGUAAUGGCGGUUGCAUGGGUUUUUUUUUUAUUA